rnacentral:rRNA from 1 species
AUUGAACGCUGGCGGCGUGCCUUACACAUGCAAGUCGAGCGGCAGCGCGGGGCGAACCCUGCGGCGAGCGGCGAAACGGGUGAGUAAUGCAUCGGAACGUGUCCUCUUGUGGGGAUGAACCAGUCGAAAGAUUGGCUAAUACCGCAUGAGCUCGAGAGAGGAAAGCGGGGAGCCGCAAGGCCUCGCGCGAGAGGAGCGGCCGAUGCCGGAUUAGCUAGUUGGUGGGGUAACGGCCCACCAAGGCGACGAUCCGUAGCUGGUCUGAGAGGACGACCAGCCACACUGGGACUGAGACACGGCCCAGACUCCUACGGGAGGCAGCAGUGGGGAAUUUUGGACAAUGGGCGCAAGCCUGAUCCAGCCAUGCCGCGUGUGUG